GAGGACAGCUGCUGGCUAGCUUCUCCAUGACGCACUUUUUGUUCCAAGUAUGGCUGUGAACUAGAUUCAUAAGUGCUAGAUGGACUUGCCAAUACUGGUUGAGAAGAUUGAAGGGUUGGUGAAGGUGCAUGAGAAGAUUGGACCAUUGGUGAAGGUGCAUGAAAAGAUUGGACCAUUGGUGACGGUGCAUUAUCUGUCAAAGAAGCGGCACUAGUAGCAGCUGCUUCAGUCACAGUCCGAUCAGCCUCCCUUACAACAUUCAAACCAAGUAAGUC
rnacentral:lncRNA from 1 species